rnacentral:tRNA from 1 species
GUCUCGUUGGUGUAGUUGGUUAUCACGUCGGUCUCAUAAUAUGAUCGCGCUUGGCGCGAGGAACUUGAUAUCUGGAGGUCGCCAGUUCGAUCCUGGCACGGGACA